UUACAACUGACGAGUCCAAAAUAGGACGAAACGCGCGUCCUGGAU
rfam:Schistosoma mansoni strain Puerto Rico chromosome 4, complete genome